rnacentral:rRNA from 1 species
GAUGAACGCUGGCGGCGUGCCUAAUACAUGCAAGUCGAGCGAACAGACGAGGAGCUUGCUCCUCUGACGUUAGCGGCGGACGGGUGAGUAACACGUGGAUAACCUACCUAUAAGACUGGGAUAACUUCGGGAAACCGGAGCUAAUACCGGAUAAUAUAUUGAACCGCAUGGUUCAAUAGUGACAGACGGUUUUGCUGUCAAUUAUAGAUGGAUCCGCGCCGCAUUAGCUAGUUGGUAAGGUAACGGCUUACCAAGGCAACGAUGCGUAGCCGACCUGAGAGGGUGAUCGGCCACACUGGAACUGAGACACGGUCCAGACUCCUACGGGAGGCAGCAGUAGGGAAUCUUCCGCAAUGGGCGAAAGCCUGACGGAGCAACGCCGCGUGAAUGAUGAAGGUCUUCGGAUCGUAAAACUCUGUUAUUAGGGAAGAACAAAUGUGUAAGUAACUCUGCACGUCUUGACGGUACCUAAUCAGAAAGCCACGGCUAACUACGUG